AAUUUUUUUUUUUUUUUUUUUUUGGCUGCACCAGAGGGUAUAGGAGUCCCAGGGCCAGGGAUCAAAGGCGCACCAUGGCAGCGACCCGAUCCACUGCAGGGACAUGCAGUGACAACACCAGAUCUUUAACCCUCAGAGCCACCAGGGAACUCCUGUUUCGUCCUCAUUACAGUUCCAGGUUAGCACACUUUUCCACCCUAAGUGUUCUCCAGGCAGAAAUUCUCAAGGGCUGCGCUGUAGUCCCAUUAAGCAGUCCAGCGUACAUUUUUACAUCAUUUUCCUACUAUUAGAUAUUUAGUUUGGUAUAACUUUUCUUUAAAACAGUUAUACAUAGUAGCAUGUAUAACUAAAACUGUCAUGUAUAUCUUUGCAGGUCAAUCAGAUGCGCCUCUGACCAUCUCUGGAGGGGAGGAUGUGGGAGGGGCCGGAAGCCCACCUUCAAGGUCUCCGCCCAAGGCUGUUGGUGAGUUGUCAGAAGAGAAAGCAGAUCCUUGAUGGAGGAACCAACCUUCCGCCGAGGCCUCAGGAAUUCCUACAGAGAAAUCGUCUUACGUGUGUGUGUGCACGCCGAGGCCGAGACAGAGACAUUCACUCAGCACGGUUUUCAAAAAAGAAAACGCCGAAGCACCUCAAGGUCACUCGGCAGAGGGGCGUGUAAGUCCACAGGGCGUCCUUGUUUGAGGAGUGGGCUAUGACUGGGUAUUGGGGUGGAGAGACCCCCAGCGCAAAGCGCUGCACAGGAGAACGGUAAUGCGCUCAAGACCAAUGCCUAAGGUGUGACCCCUUUGUGCAAGAGCCAGAGCAAAGCAAGGCUGUAGCUCCGCCUGGGCAGUGCUCCGGUUAUCUAGGUCUGUGGAACGAUCUGUCCGCAGAUUUAUUGGCUCAGGAAUCUCUUGGUGGGGACAGCUCAUUGCUGCUGCCUUGGUGGGGGUGGGGUGGAGGCUGAGCUGGGAUUGUCUGCAGGCGUCCCUCACAGGGCAGGGGGUUGCCCUGGCUCCCAGUUGGGACUCACCUGAAGACCCAGGAGGAACGUCUGUCUCAAGGGCCAGCAUCUGUGGAGAGGAGGCAUGGGUCCCAGGCUGUGCGGCUGGUCAGCCUCGAAGGUCUCAUGGUGCCAUGUUGGCUUUACCUCCAGAGCACAGGCCCAUCCUGAGACCACACGAGGGAAACCGGGCCCCGCUUUUGGUGGGUGGCGUGUGAAAUCUGUGGUUUUAAAGCCACGGUAGAGGAGUGUGAGUAAUUUCUGAGAAAAGAUCUGUAAAGAUAGAUACUCUCCAACAUCCGAUAGCUGUUAUCUUGGGGGGUUAGCAGGUGGGCAAGUGGAGGUGGUGUUUGUUCUUUUAGGACAAACCCAACUUGAACUGGCUUCAGGACAAAACGCUGUGCCCACUCCCAUCAUUGGCUGUCCCCAGGGUGCAUGUGCUUCUGGCGUUGACAUGCUGCCAUCAGGGAUUGUGUUUCUCCCAUUUUCGAAGCAGACUUUCUCCACGGGGCGGGCAGGCCCAGACCUAAAUCCUCACAGGUUAGCAGGUCGAGUGGGAGGAGGAAAAGUAGCUUUGCUGGUUGCUCC
rnacentral:lncRNA from 1 species